AAGUCAUAACAAGGUUUCUGUAGGUGAACCUGCAGAAGGAUCAUUAUUGAACAACCGGGGUCCUCGCUCGCGAGCUCCCCAACCCUUCAUUCAUAUCCACACACCUGUGCACCGUCGAAGGCCCGCGAGGGCUGCCGGCACCAUAUCUAUUACAAACACCUGAGAAAAGUAUGAUGUUAUUUGAACCGGCCUGGCCGGAGAUACAAAAAAUAACUUUCGACAACGGAUCUCUUGGUUCUCC
rnacentral:misc_RNA from 1 species